CGUCACUGACGACUCCUCUCCAGGUCCCUGCUUCCCCUGGAUUGGCCUCGAGAGCUGCGUGAAUGCCACUAGUUUUCUAGUUCAUGGUCUCAAUUAAAGGUGGGGCAGGAGCAUCUUGGUUCCUAGCUAUUACCCAUCAAUGUCUCAGGCCCUCUCAAAAACUGGGUCCUAGGUCAGAAGGCAGCAGGGAGCCGGGAAGGACCAGAAAAAGCAGACAGGAGGAGAAGACAGGCCUGACACCUCCAAGAAAGGACCUGUAGGAAAGUCAGGAAGAAGGGAUGCUGAGACCUCAGUCUCAGGGAACGCGCGGGCAUCUUCCUGACCCAGGGCUGGAACACAGGUCUCCUGCAUUGCAGGCAGAUUCUUUACUAUUUCAACUACCAGAUGUUGCUGUGGAAGUGCUGCACUCAAUAUGCCAGCAAAUUUGGAAAACUCAGCUCUGGCCACAGGAUUGGAAAAGGUCAGUUUUCAUUCCAAUCCUAAAGAAGGGCAAUGUUAAAGAAUGUUCAAACUACCACACAAUUGCACUCAUUUUAUGUGCUAGCAAAGUAAUGCUCAAAAUUCUCCAAGUUAGGCUUUAACAGUAUAAGAACCUAGAACUUCCAGAUGUACAAGCUGGAUUUAGAAAAGGUAGAAAAACAAGAGAUCAAAUUGUGAACAUCUGUUGGAUCAUAGAAAAAGAGCAAGAGAAUUCCACAAAACAUCUACUUCUGCUUUAUUGAAUACGCUAAAGCCUUUGACUGUAUGGAUCACAACACACUGUGGGAAAUUGUUAGAGAGAUGGGAAUACAAGACCACCUGACCUGUCUCCUGAGAAACCUGUAUGCAGGUCAGGAAGCAACAGUUAGAACCAGACAUGGAACAAUGGACUGGUUCCAAAUUGGGAAAGGAGUAUAUCAAGACUGUAUAUUGUCACCUUGUUUAUUUAACCUAUAUGCAGAGUACAUCAUGCAAAAUGCUGGGCUGGAUAAAGCACAAACUAGAAUCGAGAUUUCCAGAAGAAAUAUCAAUAACCUCAGAUAUGCAGAUGACACCACCCUUAUGGCAGAAAGCAAAGAGGAACUAAAGUGUCUCUUGAUG